CACCAGCAUCGAUGGCAUCCGCUCCAACCUGUUCACCAGCCUGCUGCAGGUGCUCUACCAUCGGGUACCCGAAGGCAUCAUCGAGACGCCGACCAACACCGAGGAGGAGGUGGCCAACGUGCAGGCGAUCAUCAACCACCUGGCGCUCGACCUGAUCCACAUCGAUCUCUCGCACAUCUCGGGCGCCGACGUCAUCGCUGGCGAUCCGCGCGCCAUCUAUAACCUGCUGGAGAUCUUCUGCGGCCUGCACAAGUACCUCAGCUCCACGUCCAUCGGACAAUGGAACCUGGAGGAGACGCUGACGGAGACGGACAACGAGCUGAGCAGUG